rnacentral:lncRNA from 1 species
UUCUGGCAUAUGCCAUAAGAAGAAACUAAUAAGAGUGUGAAGACAACAAUUGCUUAUCUGUUUUUUUAUUUGUAUUUUUCUUACUUUUUUCUUUAGUUUUCAUAACAAUGAUAAGAAUUCUGUCACACUCAUUGAACGAAAAGUGUUGAAUGAAGGAUGGGUAUUGUCAAAUAAUGAAUCAUUUUCAUGCCAUUCUACACAAGUUACCAAGUGGGAUGGAUAUUUAAAAACAAACAAGGAAAAAAAAACACUUAAAAUCUAAGACCACAUUGUUUCAUGUUCAAAAGGAAAUCAAAUCUACAGAGCAUUUGACUGAAUAAUAAGUGCAUGUAUGGGUUCUCAGUUCAAGAUGCGAUUGAGUUCUAGUCCCCUUUUCCUCCGAGAUUAAAAAAAAAUCCUAUAAAUUAAUAUUGAAAGUUAAAAUGAAAAACUGAUGUAGGAGGGGAUGAAGAGCAACAUUUCCUGGAAGGCAAGAGACAAGGUUGGUGCAGUUAUAUGUAUGAAGAGUAUUGUUUUGUUGUGAUGAUUAAAGGGCACACAUGUGAAUAGGUGGGUACAUGAUUUGUCUGUGUGGAAUGGAGACAAUGCUGGGAUUGCAAGGAGCCAACUGAUGCAAACUAGCAAUAGCUUGCAUAUGAUGAGAAAAAAAAAAUCUCUCAUGUUUAUUUGAUAGAAUGAUACAUAACAUCUCGUGACAAGUUCAUCGGACAAUAGCUAGCGAUUGAUUAGAAAUUCUUGCUUCGAGUUCUUCCCAAUCGAUGCAGAUUCAUAUGAUCCAUAUAUACAUAUUCAUCAGUUGAAGAUAGGGGAUUUAUAUCAGUGUUUAUGGAUACCUACCAUCAUUAGGUUUUCUGUAUCUUCCCAUGAAUAGUGACCAUCAUAUGCCACAGAGAAAGUGUGUUCUUUUCACAUCCUCACAAAAGUUAAUAUUGUUGUCAAAUUUAUGUACCAUUGAGCCUAUACGAAAGAGUUUAGAUCAGUUAAAAGAGGUUUCUCUUCACAAAAGUUUCUAUCUAAAUAUGUCACUUGAACCAGAGACCUCGCCCGUGAAGUAAAUCAUCGCACCUACGGUCCAACCAAUUGGGAGAGAAUCAAUAGAUUCCUUUUCGGGAGCGAUUCAUCCUUCCCGAACAUAAACCAUUGAGACAACUUUUUGCAUCAUGCCAAUAUAUACAUAUAUAUAUAUAUAUGCGUGUAAUAUUAAUAUUGAACAUCAGUCAAAGGUUAAUUCUACAUGAAAUCAGCUUUAUAUAUAUAUAUAACUUGAUGAUUAAGAGAAGUGUAGAAAUGACACGUGUGGAGAGAGAAGAUAAAGAGGAGACGGGCUAGCUGGUGAGAGAGGGAGAGGAGGGAGAAGGAAGGAGGCUAAAAAUGGCCCCCCGUGAGGAGUAUUUGGAGGCAUUCCAAUUAUAUCACAAACCCAAAAAUUGUUUCUCCUUCACUUCUUUCGAUGGCCAUUUUUCUCUCCUCUCCAUCACGAGCUCAUGAUUCCCACCCCAUUCCCUCAUUUUCUUUUACCCUUUUCUGUUUUCCCCAAAUAACCUCCUUUUUAU